rnacentral:rRNA from 1 species
GUGUCAGCAGCCGCGGUAAUACGUAGGUGGCGAGCGUUGUCCGGAAUGACUGGGCGUAAAGGGUGCGUAGGCGGCCUGUCAAGUUAGAAGUGUAAUACCUGGGCUCAACUUAGGUGCUACUUCUAAGACUGAUGGGCUUGAGUGUGGGAGAGGUAAGUGGAAUUCCUAGUGUAGCGGUGGAAUGCGUAGAUAUUAGGAGGAACACCGGCGGCGAAGGCGGCUUACUGGACCAUAACUGACGCUGAGGCACGAAAGCGUGGGGAGCAAACAGGAUUAGAUACCCUGGUAGUCCACGCCGUAAACGAUGGAUACUAGGUGUAGGGGGUAUCGACGCCCUCUGUGCCGUCGCUAACGCAAUAAGUAUCCCGCCUGGGGAGUACGACCGCAAGGUUAAAACUUAAAUGAAUUGACGG